UACAGAGGGGGCAAGCGUUAUUCGGAAUUAUUGGGCGUAAAGGGCGCGUAGGCGGCCUUUCAAGUGACGGGUGAAAUCCCUCGGCUUAACCGAGGAACUGCCUGUCAGACUGGGAGGCUUGAGACCGGGAGAGGUCAGUGGAAUUCCCAGUGUAGCGGUGAAAUGCGUAGAUAUUGGGAGGAACACCAGUGGCGAAGGCGGCUCACUGGACCGGAACUGACGCUGAGGCGCGAAAGCGUGGGGAGCAAACAGG
rnacentral:rRNA from 1 species